CAAUUUUCAGAGUGUUAGCUCUAUCCUGAAAGGCUGAUCACAAAUAGGUGGCAGGAAUUGCUUAUCAAAAUAUUAUUGUUCAAUCAAUCUUCUAAGCAGCCUCAGUUUCUACAAGAAUAUGACUCCUCAUUUUAGAAGUUAAAGGAUUUUGCUCAUCAGUUUAAGGUGUAUCGUAUUCUGUGUGAUGGUUGUCCCAGCUAAUCUUAAUCAUCUUCCGUGGAUUAAGAGGUUCCUGGAGAGGUCAUUGGUGGCGCACUAUUCCUCAGUGGGUUAGUCCACUGCUGUUCAUAGCCCAAUGUGCCAUUGGGGUGAGGCCCAGCUGGAGGAGGAGGUCACUGGUGACUGCUGUCCCAUCGGAAGGUCUGUCUCUCCCUGGUGCUCUCCCCUUGAGCUCUGCUUCUUGGACUGUCAUGAAGUAAACAGCUCUGCUCCACCACGUCUUUCUCCCAUGAUGUUUCUACCUUGGAGCCAGCUCAUCAUGGACUGAAACCUUGGAAACCGUGAGC
rnacentral:lncRNA from 1 species